rnacentral:rRNA from 1 species
UACGAAGGGGGCUAGCGUUGUUCGGAAUCACUGGGCGUAAAGCGCACGUAGGCGAACUUUUAAGUCAGAGGUGAAAUCCCAAGGCUCAACCUUGGAACUGCCUUUGAUACUGGGAGUCUUGAGUUCGGGAGAGGUGAGUGGAACUGCGAGUGUAGAGGUGAAAUUCGUAGAUAUUCGCAAGAACACCAGUGGCGAAGGCGGCUCACUGGCCCGAUACUGACGCUGAGGUGCGAAAGCGUGGGGAGCGAACAGG